GGACAUAGCUCAGUGGCAGAGCUUCUGCCUUGCAUACAGAAGGUGCUAGGUUCAAUCCCUGGUAUCUCCA